UAUAUAUAUAAGCGAGAGAAGAGUGUACGAACGCAGCAUUACAUCAUUGUGCAAAAAGUAACCUGGAUUGUACGUACCUUAGAUUUGUAUUGAUAUCAUUGGUGAUUCAAUUUAUUUACCCUCACUUCAAUUUCCACUUUACUUCCACUUCUGAUUCUUCUCAUUUGUUUUUUAGUCCGUCCUUGCUCUUUCUCUUUCUCUGCCAGUUUGACAUUUUGAUAUCUUCUUUGUUAUUCAUUCUCUCAGCAAAAAGUUAUUAAUUUCCCUAAAUUGGUUUGACUUCACAUAGGAAACACUCUUAUGUCUCCAGCUCCAGAACGCUCAAAAUCAACUUUCAUACGGUUUCCGUCUCCUGCUUCAGUUUCAGAGAUAAAAAUAAUAUGCUCUUCUCCUUCUCCUUCAAAGGUCGUCUACCUCUUCGAGUGAGUUUCUCAACUUUUUCUAUCUUCCUUUUCUCUUGGAGUUCGCUGAUGUCUUUUGUGCAUGCCGCCUUCUCUGUCCUUGUGAGCUUUUCGGCAUUCUUUCUCUGUUUAAGAUAUCCAGUUGUUGCUAAUUGAACUUUGGUAGACCUCUAUUACAGUCAUCUACUUUUCUGAUAGGUUUUUCAUUUUUGUUGGAUUUUUUACAUACUUUAUUUAAUUUAAGAAUACAUGUUUGGAAUAAGAUACAUUCAUACAAAAUUUUGAUAUUUGAUGAACACAAACUUUAUUUUCGGGCAAUCAACCUUAAUUCCCUAUUUCCCCUCUUUAUUUUGGGAAUUUUGUUUAUCUAUUUUUCUGUUAAUUUCUACAAAUAUCUACUCACUUCAUUCCUAUUUGAAGCUCUAAGAUUGUUGGUAUGGGGAUAAGUAAGUGAUGUAAGCAAGAUUAAUAACGACUUGAUUACAAAUGACAAAAUAUUGAACUAGAGUAGUAUACAUUACACUCUUUUUUAAAUCUCAUUGUUUGAGUUAUUUGAGGCACCUAACCCUCAGGGUUGGCCUGGUGGCAAUUGACUUGAGCCUUGGGGUUUGCUCCCUUUCAAGGUCUCAUGUUCGAAACCCACUGGGUGCAAACAAUUUCUGAGGGUCAUCGGACUGGGUAACACCUGAAUUAACCGUGGUGCACUUGCGGGAAACUCCUUGCCGAGGGCCUGUGCACCCCGGGAUUAGUCGGGGCUCUUAGAAACUCGGACACCCGGUGCAAAUCCCAAAAAAAAAAAAGUUAUUUGAGGCACCCCAAAUGUUCGACGAUAUGUCAAAAAUAAUUAACUACAUAAUAUUUUUUUUUUCCUUUUGACUGCUCUUCUAUCGUUCAUUGUGUGUAUUUCUACUACAAGAUUGCCUCUGUUUGUUUCUAAUUUAAAAACGUGCCACUUUUUAUCUAACUUUACCUUUUCAAGAAAAAAUAAAGAUGACUUUAAAGUUGCUCAAAAUUACCCAAAUUGUAAAUAUAAUUUUAUGAAGUUAUAAUUGAACUAUUUGGAACAUGAGUAUUGAAAGAUAAAGAUAUUGCUGAGCCGAAGGUUGGGGGUUUAGAUUAUCCAUUUCUUUGCAUGACCUUCUUUUGAUAGACUUGAGUGUUCCAAUGAUGGUGAAGAAGUUGGUCGAUUAAAAUAGACAAGAAGGAGGACAUUUAUUACGCUAUUUUUGUACCUUGUGAAGAGCAAAAUCAACUGCUCCUCUUUGUUGUAAGAUUACUUGAAAGUUAAAACAUCAGAGGUUUAAUACAAUAGGUGAUUGAUGGUCAAAAGUUGGAAACAAGAGAAGUGUUAAGAAAAGCGAUGAAGAUGUUGUGUGUUUACAUAUUUAACCUAAGGUUUCACUACUUGUGCCACUUAGAUCUCCAGGAUAUAUGAAGUGUUAAUGCCAUCUAUAUUCGAGCUGAUGAAAUCUUAACACUUUGGGGAGCAUAGGUCAUCCUGAAUGGAGUAAAAGUAGCAUAAGACAUUAUGAGUGGAAGAGCUCAAGGCGAAUGUCUUGAAUAGCGACAAAGGUUAUACAAAGUUACAAUAUUGUUUGUAUUCUGUAUUUAAAUCCAAUUUAGUGAGUCACACUCUUCGUUUUACUUCUUUGAUAUUUGUUCGUGGUUGAGAAUAUUUUGUGGAUGUAGUAAUCUAACAGCUAUUACUUAUGUUUGUGUUCAAGAAAUUCAUUGAAACAUAUAUCAUUUGUUUGCAUCUGUUUCAAUUGCAGUUUGGUAUUAACCGCCUAAUUUUGUGUCUAUCAGUAUCAGAAAAAAUUAGAAUUAUACCAAAUUUAAAAUUUUACUUCAACAAAAUAAAAAGACUUGGAACAGGAAUGUCGACAAAUAGAGGGUCAAGAAGAGUAAGUGAUAUCAUUCUCUAUUCUUGCUUCUUCUUUUUUAACCCCUGGUCUAUAUUUCUUCUUUUCAUUUUGUUUUGGUAUUGAAAUUGGCAGCUCAAGGGUGUUGAAAAGAAAAGAACAUGUGGUACCUGUAAUUCUGGAGAUUAGUCAAAUUAUAAAUGGCAAUAUCACCAACACUAUGAAUGUCUUUGUUUGUCAUAUGAUAGUGUUUGCAAAUAACUGCUUGGUUUUGCAGAAAUUGAAGCUAUAACUUUGGUUCUUGUAAGUGUUUGCCAAUUUUGAUGUUAAUAUUUUUGAAAAGCAAUGUGGUCAUGUGUAGGGAGAUUGUAAUGUUACUGUCCAUGUAUAGUCCUGCACGCAGCGUUGAAGAUGUCUUAACUUUUAGAAAGGAACUUUUCCCCGAGACAGUAGUGGUGCUUCUUGGCCAUAAUAUUAGAUUGCUUUCUUAUAUCUAGAAACCCAAAUGUGAGGUGAUAUGAUGUAGACAAUUCUCAUGGUUAAUAGCAUAUAUUUAACUAGUAUUAUUUUUCUUAAGGUUCUUGAUACUAUUAUAUUCAUUAGUGCUGUUGUAGCUGGAAUUUCAAAUAUUUGGUGGUUUAGGGUUGCGGACAGUUCCAGUAGUUAAUAAUUUGAUACUUGUUAACCGUGAAUCAUAUUCUGAUUACUUGGUUGUGUAGCAAUCUGGAAUUCAAAUUGUGAGGUGGUUUACAUAAGUUAAUAAUGUAUCCCGUUCUUAUUUUGGGAUAGAUUUGAUCAUGUUAUAAUAUUCUUUCACGUUAUUGCAGCUGAAAUCCCAAAUGUGAUAUUGUUGCAGCAAAUCAUUCACAUGGGAACAAUGCUUGUGAAGAGCAUAAGAUGGUGGAUGUGCUUUAUGUAAUAGUAGUAGUUUUACUCCAUCCAGUUUGUUGUACAUAUCUGUAGUGUGGUUUGUUUUCAUAGAAACAACGUGACUUGACUAUGUUAAUGUUUUGGUUUCUUUUUAAUUCUAAGCUCUAUUUCAGCUCCCAAUUCUGCCGUCUUCAACAUUUUUCAAACAAAACUAAUUCUAUGUCCUUUGGUUGUUUGAAGUCAGCUUUGUAAUUAUAUUUGCCGGUACUGAGAAAAGUUCAACUUUUUCCUUAUUUAGUUUUUGAAGUGGACUUUGUGCAUUUAU
rnacentral:lncRNA from 1 species